AUUGAACGCUGGCGGCAGGCCUAACACAUGCAAGUCGAGCGAGAGGCGGACGGGUGAGUAAUGUAUGGGAAACUGCAUGAUGGAGGGGGAUAACUACUGGAAACGGUAGCUAAUACCGCAUACCAUCGGAUGUGCCCAGAUGGGAUUGGCUAGUAGGUGGGGUAAAGGCUCACCUGGGCGACGAUCUCUAGCUGGUCUGAGAGGAUGAACAGCCACACUGGAACUGAUACACGGCCCAGACUCCUACGGGAGGCAGCAGUGGGGAAUAUUGCACAAUGGGCGCAAGCCUGAUGCAGCCAUGCCGCGUGUAUGAAGAAGGCCUUCGGGUUGUAAAGUACUUUCAGCGGGGAGGCGUUACCCGCAGAAGAAGCACCGGCUAACUCCGUGCCAGCAGCCGCGGUAAUAC
rnacentral:rRNA from 1 species